UUUCUGUUAAAAGAACAGAACACAGAGGUGCCAUCAGAACCAUGUGAGAAGGGAAAUUCCCCUUCCCCCUCAGUAAAAAAAAACGGAUCAGGCCAUCUAAUAUUGCACAAACUGACACCUCUUUCCUAAAAAUAGCUGUCUGCACAUUCAGUCAAUGGGCUAAUCCAAUUGCCUGAACAUUCUUGGGUGCUUUAUCAUUCAAAUGGUAAUAAAUCACAACACUGGAACCAAGAACAUGCGGGGACCAGAUGAAAUCAGGGUGACAUGAUGUCAUUGAGCUGAAAAUUCAAUGCAUGCCCUGUUUUGUCUUAAAAAGUUGGCUUGAAGGUCUCUUUCAAAUUAGGGGGAUUUUCCAAAAAUCCCAGCCCCUGUCACAUUUUGAUUCACUAUUUCUUCCCUUCAUUUAUUUUGAAUAAUGAGCACAUGGGGCCUGCCUGUAAAUCCAUGGAACUCUGUUGAAAAAUUACUAUUGAAUCCAGAUUUUGGACCUGCCUGAUCGGGAAUUUUGCCGUAAAAUAUGGAAGAAAAACUAUCAUGCAUAUUUUAGGGCAGCUGAACUAACACAGUAAUGCUCCCAUGAGCUCCUCAGGAAUAUGCUUCCACAAACUAAUACUCACCAUUGUUCAAAAAAAUUUUGUUAGAUUUAGUUUCCCCUGGUUUCUUUCUAAAUAAAAAGUAAUGGGAUAAACCAGUUUUAACCCUCCUAAGCAGCCCCUUGUUCCUCAGAGCAACAUUCCCCUUGACCACCUUAAUGAAUUCCCUCCUCUCCUUGGUUUUAUGCAUGUUUCAGAUAUUUAUACAAGAUGUAUGAACAUAAAAGGAUUAUUCAUAACAUUAUUGUUUCUGAAACAGGGGACUAAAGCUAAACAUAAUCUGGUUCAAUCCCCAGCUGAUAUAAAUAUUCCUGCUCUCCUGGAAGUUGCUGGAUGCUGUGCUCCCAGUCAGGAAUUGCUUCCUGCAGGGAUGGGGAGAGGGAGAGCACUGGGGAAAAGUGGUGGAAACAAAACCAGGUCGCCUGUGGAUGGGAAUUCAUCCCAGAGUUUGGCUCUGCUGCCAGAGGGGAAGGUGUGAUGGGGCUGUGGCUCUGCUCACAGGUAAAGGUGGGGUGGAAAUGCAGCAGCACAGAAAUGAGCCUGACCCUGGAUAAGAACCCAGAGCCCUUACACAGCUCCAUCCCAGGAAUUGCAAAUUAUGUGGUUCAGCUCCUUCCUUCUCCUGCAUCUCCUGCCCUGCACUGCUGUGCACUUCAGCCCUGUCCAGUUCCAAAUUUAAAUUUAUUGCUGCAGGGUUUCAGUGACCAAGGGAAGCCCCUGGGGCUGGUGCAGGCUGGGGAUGGGCAGAGCUGGGAUGUAGGGAUGGGGAAUUUCCCAUCUGACUCCUUGUCCCCAGUGUAAAUGGGAGGUGGAGGGAGGGAGUGACCUGAUGAGAAAGAUGAUGAGGAUGGAAGGGGAAACUGAAGGAGAAAAAUGUGGGGAAGGGGGAAAAUAAACCAGGAAGGCUGUGUCCCACUAUAAACCCUGUGAAAGGGAAGGUGCUGGCCCAGCAUCAGCCGCUGGGAGAGGUCACUGCCCCAGUGCAGGACACUGGAGUGUCCCUGGGCAUGGAACAGGUCACUGCAGGGCACUUCCAAAGGAGAGCAGAGCUCACCUCCCUCACCUGCAGCUGCCCAGCCCUGCUGCAGGAUGCAGCCCUGCCUCCCCCUGGGCUGCUCAACAACCCCCAUGCACCCUAAACCGUCCUUUUUAACCCCAAACUGACACGUGGUAGUGCAGGCAGCAGUGCUGGCAUAUUUGGUGGGAGAUGCCACCCCUAUUCCCCUCCACUGGAAGCUGCAAUGAGCAGCAGCUGCUGAAAAUAGCCUUGGAGAGAAGCUCUGCUGCAGUCAGAGCACACCAGAAGAGCUCAGUGUUCCACCCUCCUUUCCUCACGUACUUCAGAAAAGUUAAUUAAAGGAGGCUGGGAUCUGCAAAGUGAGAAGCACCACUGCCAAAGCAGCUCCUCCAUGUUCCUUUUAUUCCUCCUCUGACCUGAACACAAGCACAGACCUCAUUCCUGCUCCUUCCAUGCCACAUUUCCACAAACUUAAUGCUUACAAUGUGGGAAGCAGCAGGAGAUUAUGGGAUGCUCAGAUAAGAUGGAUCUAAUGGCUGAGUUGCAGUUUAUAGGUGAGGACCAUCCAAGCUUGGCACAGAGCUCUCAGUGAGGCCUUCAGCCUCUGGCCUGGCAGCUGAAAGUCACCGUGGCCCUUUCAUGCUUCAGUUCCUGGUAGGAAGUUUGGUUUUCAUGCUUUACUAUGGUUUUCCUCCCAACUUUGAUCUUCACUCUUGGGAGUCUCAUUUACACUCAGCUGCAUCCUCAUCCCUGGCCUUAAUCUUUCAUAGCGGAGUGCCCUACUUAUCAAAGUGUGACAGCUCUCCUAACCCCCACCCACAGCCCAGAGGAGAUGCAGGAGCCUCUCCAACUGUUAGGAAAACAGAUAAGUUAAAUUGGCUAAGCUGCUUCUUGUCAUACUCCAAAUAUUUGGUCUCCCUUGCCAGCUUGAGGCUUAUGGAUUAAGGCCUUCGGUUCUCCAUCAAGAGCCCCCAAAUCCAGAGCGUCUGAGGGGUGUUUUUCAGAGUGUUUCCAUGGAUAACUGGUUAAUUUUGGCUCAUCAUCUUGCUGGACACUGCUUUAUUCUUGAGUUAUAGAAUUAUAGCAUGUCCUGAGUUGGGGUUAUUCUUGAAUUAUAGAAUUAUUGGAUGUCCUGAGUUGGGAGGGACCCACAGGGAUCAUCAAAUCCCACCUUGUCCAAAUGCUCCGGAGCUCUGGCAGCUCAUUCCCCAUUCCCUGGUGGGAAUGCUCAGUGCCCCACCACCCUCUGGGGAAAGAACCUUUUCCAAACACCCAACAAAACAUCCCCUGAUACCCCUCCCAGCCAUUCCCUCAGGUUGUGUCCCUGGUCAGAGAGAGCAGAGAUUUGAGGGCCACCUCAGAGAUGGAGAAUUCCCAUGUUCUCACUGUGUCAGCAGAGCCAGCAGUGCCAUGGUUUGGGAUGUGGUGCACGGGUAACCAACCUGCCCUCAGCCCUGCAGAGCAGGAGGAAAUCUCCUCCUGCCUCUGUGCUCCUGAAGAAUCCCUCAGGAGGAAAAAGAGUGGUUAGAGGUUGAUGAGAAAUGCCUUUUUUUGGGGGAAAAAAAAAAAAAUCUGAGAGGUUCUUUUAUUGGAGAGAACAGAAGGCUGAAAGUGAAACUUGAAAAUGGCAUCAAAGGGAGAAGCAGAGCUGGGAGCACACAGUUCUCAGUGUCCACUGGAGGUGAUGCCCACCAGACAGCUCUGGCAUUCUUCUCAAAGAGAAAAGCUCUGGUGUGCCAGCUCCAUCUGACAGAGGGGAUCUGCUGGGCUGCAGGCUGUAAUCCAUUUUGCCUGCGUUUGCUGGCCUGCUGUGGGUUGGUGACAGGUUUUUUCCCCUCAGCUUCCUCCUCAGCAGUCCAUUUAGAAGUGGCUCAUAUUUUGUUAUUACCUCUGAUGGUUUUGCAAAUGACCGUAUCUAGGAGUUAACUCUCAUUUAUGAUCUCCUCAGAUGAUAAAGUGGCUCUUUUAAGAGUCCUGUUGCUUGCCAAAAACCAAUUAUUGCAAAAGUCUGAAGCCAUUUCUGAAAUAAUUUAUUGGGCAACUGCACUCAGAGCAAGAAGCUCUCAUUUAAUACCAGUAUUUAAAUACAUUUUAAUGUACCCAUAACCAGAAAACCCAGAUGCCAUAGAUAUAAGCUUAGCAAUAUCUUUCUCUCCAAAAGAGCGGUUUUGCCCAGUCCUUAUUAAAUAUUUUGUUCAUCCCUGAGGCAGA